rnacentral:rRNA from 1 species
CCUACGGGUGGCAGCAGUCGAGAAUCAUUCACAAUGGGGGAAACCCUGAUGGUGCGACGCCGCGUGGGGGAAUGCAGGUCUUCGGAUUGUAAACUCCUGUCAUGUGGGAGCAAAUUAAAAAGAUAGUACCACAAGAGGAAGAGCCGGCUAACUCGGUGCCAGCAGCCGCGGUACUACAGAGGUCUCAAGCGUUGUUCGGAAUCACUGGGCGUAAAGCGUGCGUAGGCUGUUUCGUAAGUCGUGUGUGAAAGGCGCGGGCUCAACCCGCGGACGGCACAUGAUACUGCGAGACUAGAGUAAUGGAGGGGGAACCGGAAUUCGCGGUGUAGCAGUGAAAUGCGUAGAUAUCGAGAGGAACACUCGUGGCGAAGGCGGGUUCCUGGACAUUAACUGACGCUGAGGCACGAAGGCCAGGGGAGCGAAAGGGAUUAGAUACCCUUGUAGUC